UCCCGCAGCAUCGCCGAGCCUCGCAGCCGCAUCAUGCCGCCGGGUCCGUCAGUGCCCGCUCAACAGGGGAGGAUGCUCCGGACGUGGGCGGCCGCUCUCCUCCGGCAACUUGAUCUCCGGCGGGACGGCCAGAGGGCAAAAGAGGGCAGGGACAGUGAGGUGGGUGUGGUUCCGGCUGCGGUUCCCACAGGCAAUGCUGCUGCUUCUGAGGCUGCCCGCGGCUACUUCUCACACCGCGGAGGACUCCGCACUGAGGCUGAGGCGUAAGGGCGGGCCCGAGACAUUCGGCGCUCACCCACCCGGGGGCGGGAGGACGCCGGCGGCCUGCCCCCUUCGCCUGCUCCGAUUAGCUCAGAUCCCCGACCUCGCUUCUGAUUGGUGACUGGAGCAGUCAAAUUUCUCUCGGCGCCCGGUGCGCGGAGAGUCAUGCGGAGGACUGGCGGGGGACUGGGAGGAGGAGUCAAACUGACGUGUGAGGCAGGGGGGCCAGGCAGGGCUCCGGAGUAGCCCCUUCCCUCUCGCUUCGUCAGCACCGGGAGUGCCCUCGUUGGGAACUGGGGCCUUAGCGGUCUCGUCAUUUACGAAGCAGAUGGGCUCCUGGACUCUGGGGCCUCGAACUGUUUCGGAGACUGAUUGGCAAGAGCCCCUGCCGCCCAGGGGCCGGCGGUCGGGGGCUUGGCCGGGGCUGGAGUUUGGCCGUCGGAGCUCGGCUGGUCAAAGCUUGCCGCUGGUCCCCGGCUAUCCGCAGGUUCCAAAGAGGGGAUGAUUCCUUUACCUGGGUCCCAGAUUGAUGGAACAAAGCUGAAGAUGACUGUGAUUGACAAACAACAUGAAGAGAAAUAAAGCUUACUAAAGGGGAAAUUUGGACACAGACUGCACAGAGGGAGAACACCAUGUGAAGACUGAAGUUAUGCUGCCACAGUCAAGGAAUUAUCAGAAGCUGAAAGAAAGGUGUGGAACAGAUAACACCCUAGGAUCUUCAAAGGAAACAUGGUCCUGCAGACAACUUGAUGUGGACUUCUAGCCUCCAGAACUGUGCGACAAUAAAUUUCUGUUGUUUAAACCACUCAGUUUAUGGUACUUUGUUACAGCAGCCUUAGCAAAA